rnacentral:rRNA from 1 species
AUGAACGCUGGCGGCGUGCCUAAUACCUGCAAGUCGAGCGAACGGACGAGAAGCUUGCUUCUCUGAUGUUAGCGGCGGACGGGUGAGUAACACGUGGAUAACCUACCUAUAAGACUGGGAUAACUUCGGGAAACCGGAGCUAAUACCGGAUAAUAUUUUGAACCGCAUGGUUCAAAAGUGAAAGACGGUCUUGCUGUCACUUAUAGAUGGAUCCGCGCUGCAUUAGCUAGUUGGUAAGGUAACGGCUUACCAAGGCAACGAUGCAUAGCCGACCUGAGAGGGUGAUCGGCCACACUGGAACUGAGACACGGUCCAGACUCCUACGGGAGGCAGCAGUAGGGAAUCUUCCGCAAUGGGCGAAAGCCUGACGGAGCAACGCCGCGUGAGUGAUGAAGGUCUUCGGAUCGUAAAACUCUGUUAUUAGGGAAGAACAUAUGGUAAGUAACUGUGCACAUCUUGACGGUACCUAAUCAGAAAGCCACGGCUAACUACGUG